GACGAACGCUGGCGGCGUGCUUAACACAUGCAAGUCGAGCGAUGAAAUUCCUUCGGGAAUGGAUUAGCGGCGGACGGGUGAGUAACACGUGGGUAACCUGCCUCAUAGAGGGGAAUAGCCUUCCGAGAGGAAGAUUAAUACCGCAUAAGAUUGUAGUACCACAUGGUACAGCAAUUAAAGGAGUAAUCCGCUAUGAGAUGGACCCGCGUCGCAUUAGCUAGUUGGUGAGGUAACGGCUCGCCAAGGCGACGAUGCGUAGCCGACCUGAGAGGGUGAUCGGCCACAUUGGGAUUGAGACACGGCCCAGACUCCUACGGGAGGCAGCAGUGGGGAAUAUUGCACAAUGGGGGAAACCCUGAUGCAGCAACGCCGCGUGAGUGAUGACGGUCUUCGGAUUGUAAAACUCUGUCUUCAGGGACGAUAACGACGGUACCUGAGGAGGAAGCCACGGCUAACUACGUGCCAGCCGCCGCCGUAA
rnacentral:rRNA from 1 species